GUGAGCCGUGUAAUAGGCGACCAUUUCGCGCGGUUCGGGGGGCACUUGAAUAAGCCGCCGGCGCCCGGCUGCGUCUUUACCCCUAU
rfam:Ananas comosus cultivar MD2 ACMD2_Scaffold_444, whole genome shotgun sequence.